GUCCCCGUAGCUCAGCUGGAUAGAGCGCAGGCUUGCGGUGCCUGAGGCCAGAGGUUCGACUCCUCUCGGGGACGCCA
rnacentral:tRNA from 1 species